rnacentral:rRNA from 1 species
AAACUGAAGAGUUUGAUCAUGGCUCAGAUUGAACGCUGGCGGCAGGCUUAACACAUGCAAGUCGAGCGGUAACAGAGAGUAGCUUGCUACUUUGCUGACGAGCGGCGGACGGGUGAGUAACGCGUAGAAAUCUGCCUGGUAGUGGGGGAUAGCCCAGAGAAAUUUGGAUUAAUACCGCAUACGCCCUACGGGGGAAAGCAGGGGACCUUCGGGCCUUGCGCUAUCAGAUGAGUCUGCGUCGGAUUAGCUUGUUGGUGAGGUAAUGGCUCACCAAGGCGACGAUCCGUAGCUGGUCUGAGAGGAUGAUCAGCCACACUGGGACUGAGACACGGCCCAGACUCCUACGGGAGGCAGCAGUGGGGAAUAUUGCACAAUGGGCGAAAGCCUGAUGCAGCCAUGCCGCGUGUGUGAAGAAGGCCUUAGGGUUGUAAAGCACUUUCAGCAGUGAGGAAAGGUU